UUCCGGUUGAUCCUGCCGGACCCGACCGCUAUCGGGGUGAGGCUAAGCCAUGGGAGUCGCACGCCUCGAUUACCGGGGCGUGGCGGACGGCUGAGUAAUACGUGGCUAACCUACCCUCGGGACGGGGACAGUCCCGGGAAACUGGGGCUAAUCCCCGAUAGGUGGGGACUCCUGGAAGGGGCCCCACCUAAAGGGUUCUGCGGGGAUGUCCGCAGAGCCGCCCGAGGAUGGGGCCACAGCCCAUCAGGUAGUUGGCGGGGUAACGGCCCGCCAAGCCUAUAACGGGUAGGGGCCGUGAGAGCGGGAGCCCCCAGAUGGGCCCUGAGACAAGGGCCCAGGCCCUACGGGGCGCACCAGGCGCGAAAACUCCGCAAUGCGGGCAACCGUGACGGGGUCACCCCGAGUGCCCCGAAGAGGGGCUUUUCCCCGCUGUAAAAAGGCGGGGGAAUAAGCAGGGGGCAAGUCUGGUGUCAGCCGCCGCGGUAAUACCAGCCCUGCGAGUGGUCGGGACGGUUAUUGGGCCUAAAGCGCCCGUAGCCGGCCCGGCAAGUCCCUCCUUAAAGCCCCGGGCCCAACCCGGGGACGGGGGGGAUACUGCCGGGCUAGGGGGCGGGAGAGGCCGGCGGUACUCCCGGGGUAGGGGCGAAAUCCGUUAAUCCCGGGAGGACCACCAGUGGCGAAGGCGGCCGGCUGGAACGCGCCCGACGGUGAGGGGCGAAAGCCGGGGGAGCGAACCGGAUUAGAUACCCGGGUAGUCCCGGCUGUAAACGAUGCGGGCUAGCUGUUGGGCGGGCUUAGAGCCCGCCCAGUGGCGCAGGGAAGCCGUUAAGCCCGCCGCCUGGGGAGUACGGCCGCAAGGCUGAAACUUAAAGGAAUUGGCGGGGGAGCACCACAAGGGGUGGAGCCUGCGGCUCAAUUGGAGUCAACGCCGGGA
rnacentral:rRNA from 2 species